AUAUGAUACAACUAUGAAACACAGACAAUCCAGCUCUGUUUUUGGGAAGCUCAGAAUGUGAAAAAGGUGGUGCACUUAUGGGUGUCGACAUGCUAACUAUUGGAUGAUAAGGCAUAUCUCAUCCAAGCCUCUGUAACGGUCCAUCGGCUUAACGCAUUCAGGUAACUUCUUAAGGAGGGAGCUACACAUGAGCUUAGUGGAGAAUUUGAUGGUAACAAGAAUUUGGAGCACGAGAUCUCCAUGAGACUUUUAGCUAAGGCGAAGAUAAGCUCUUUAUAAGUUAUCUUCUCCUCUACGUGUUACGUGAAUUAGUCUCUUCAAUUUGUUCAAAGUGAUUCUCUUCAGCUUGAUCAUAAUAUCAUUGAAUGUAUAAACCGCAAAGCAAAGCACAAUAUAUACACAAGAACCCGGAGGAAUGGAGUAAGGGAUUCUCAGUCAUGUGUUAUGUAAGCUCUUCUAUCAACAAGAGACUGUGAAGAUCAAUAUAAUCAAACCAAGUAGUCAAUUUUGGAUUGUUGGAAGGGGGAGUGACCACCUGAAUCUAGAUAUGAUGGAACAUUGAUGAAUAUGUUUCGUGCAAGUCUAUAUUCUAUUAUAGUUUCUCUUAUUUACUGCUCCAAGUCCCACGAUAUACAUGAGCUUAGUAACAAAAGUAUUCAUUCAUGGAGAAGGUUAUAGUAUGCUAACUUAUAUUCAGGUUUGUUAUGAUGAUUGCUAAAUUUCUUAAAACUGAUUUAACAGGAUGGAGAGUCUGGGAUGACAAGGUGAUACUGUAGGUUCCAUUGCCCGCCACAGUUUACCAAUAACUGGUUAGAUUACAUAGCACAUCUACUUUAUUUUCACUAUUAAAUUAGUUUUUCUUCACCGCAGUAGCUCUUGGAGGCUCAAGUGCUCAACCUUUCUUUUGGUCGCUAAUGCGUGGAAAACUGGUAUGCCUACAAGGUUUCAAGCAAUGGACUUCUGUUUCUUUUUUAUUUCCUUCAGUAAGAGAACAUUAUCAGUUUAGGAGAUCUCUUCAAAAAUUACAAUUUUGAAGUCCAUUGCAAAUUAGUAGACAUUAAUUAGCUAGGCAAAAAUCAGAUACUUAUAUUGGAGAAUAGGUCCUAAGUAAAUAUUUAAUUGAUUUUCUGCAAGAUGCUUUGUGAAAGGAGCUGAGCUUUGGGAAAUAUAGGGGAAGGGAAACAACGUUUGUAAUUUGAUGGAAAAUGAGAUCUUGAUGUGAAUGCAUUGUUUUAACAAAAUAAUUGUUUUGUUAUUGUAUUAAAAGAUCUAAA